AUUGAACGCUGGCGGAAUGCUUUACACAUGCAAGUCGAGCGGCAGCGCGGGGGCAACCCUGGCGGCGAGCGGCGAACGGGUGAGUAACACAUCGGAACGUACCCUGUCGUGGGGGAUAACACAUCGAAAGAUGUGCUAAUACCGCAUACGACCUGAGGGUGAAAGCGGGGGAUCGCAAGACCUCGCGCGACAGGAGCGGCCGAUGGCGGAUUAGCUAGUUGGUGAGGUAAAGGCUCACCAAGGCGACGAUCCGUAGCUGGUCUGAGAGGACGACCAGCCACACUGGAACUGAGACACGGUCCAGACUCCUACGGGAGGCAG
rnacentral:rRNA from 1 species